UCAAUGAAAUUGAUUCUCCCGUGCAGAAGCGGGGAUUUUAACAUAAGACGAGAAGACCCUAUGGAGCUUCAGGCUCCAGAACAGACUAUGUUAAAAACCCUCCCACAAAAGACAAAACUUAUUAGACCCUGUUCCAAUGCCUUUGGUUGGGGCGACCGCGGGGAAACGAAAAACCCCCAUACGGACCGGGAGCAUCACUCCUCCCAAAACCAAGAGCAACACCUCUAAGUAACAGUACAUCUGACCAACAAAUGAUCCGGCACAGCCGAUCAACGGACCGAGUUACCCUAGGGAUAACAGCGCAAUCCCCUUCUAGAGCCCAUAUCGACAAGGGGGUUUACGACCUCGAUGUUGGAUCAGGACAUCCUAUUGGUGCAGCCGCUAUUAAGGGUUCGUUUGUUCAACGAUUAAAGUCCUACGUGAUCUGAGUU
rnacentral:rRNA from 1 species